UUACAAGGGUGCACCACCACGCCCAGCUAAUUUUUGUAUUUUUAGUGGAGACGGGGUUUCACCAUGUUGGCCAGGCUGGUUUCGAACUCCUGACCUCGCGAUCUGCCCGCCUCGGCCUCCCAAAGUGCUAGGAUUACAGGCGUGAGCCACCAUGCCCGGCCCCAAGUUUUAUAUAUAUAUAUAUAUAUAUUUAAAAGGGCUUUCUGACUUUUCUCUUUGAAUCUUUUUUCGUGGACUAGAACUUUUUUUUUCAAAAACAAAAAAACCCUGUGUGCUUGGUAUGACCACUUCCUUUGUUCACUUCCUCCCUUUUUCUUUUUUUCUUCUUUCUUGAGGUGGGGUCUUGCUCUGUUGCCCAGGCUGGAGUGCAGUGGUGUGAUCACAGCUCUGCAGCUUUGACCUCCUGGGCUCAAGCAAUCAUUCCACCUUCACCUCCCAAAGUGCUGGGAUUACAGACAUGAGCUUCUAUGCCCGGCCCACUUCCUUUAUUAAAAAUUAUUUUUCCAUGAUGUGAGUGAGAGCCCAAGGGGAGACUUCUAGCAUGAAGCCCAGAGCUCCACAGCAAACAGGAGCUUGAGUUUGACCCUAAGCCCUCAACCAGCGAUACCCCAAACAGCUGCCAUUUGAGUUUCACGUCCCUUUUUUUUUUUUUUUUGCCACACAUUCAUGCAUCACCUGCCCACUUCACUGCUUAAUAAUUUUCUUUAAAUCAACCCACUCUUUUGUUUUUAAUUCAACACAUUUAUUUAAACAGGAGAUGUCAUUUCACUCCAGGAAGUGGAAAACCAGUGUCAGUUGGCACACAUAGACUCUAAUAGUACAAAUAAAUCCAAUGAUUCAGCAACAACAGAGAAGUGCUAAAAGCAUUGGGUGAAAGGUGUUGAGGAACAGGUUGGUCACCAGGUCUCAAGGUGACACCCACAGAUGAUGCAAGAAUUCAAAGGCUCACGCCUAUAAUCCCAGCACUUUGGGAGGCCGAGGCGGGUGGAUCACUUGAGGUCAGGAGUUCAAAACCAGCCUGGGCAACAUGACGAAACCCCAUUUCUACAAAACAUACCGAAAAUUAGCCGGGCAUGGUGGUGGUGUGCACCUGUAGUCCUAGUACUACUAAGCUGAGGUGGGAGGAUCGUGGGAGGUGGAGAUUGCAGUAAGCCUAGAUCACACCACUGCACUCCAGCCUGGGCGACAGAGUGAGACCCUGUCUCAAAAACAAACCGACAAACAACAAAAAAUAAAACAAAAAACAAGGGGAGAAGAUGACCAUCUGCAAGCCAAGGAGAGAGCCCUCAGAAGGAAGUCUAUUGUGCUGACACCUCGAACUGGAACUAUUGUAACCGCCCAAGGGGUUCACGUUUCCUGCUGCCUAGACAGAGCCCAUACAUCAAAACAGGGGAAUUGCAAUAGAGAAAGAGUAAUUCGCUGGGCGCAGUGGCUGACGCCUGUAAUCCCACCACUUUGGGAGGCUGAGGUGGGCGGAUCACGAGGUCAGGAAACCGAGACCAUUCUGGCUAACACGGUGAAACCCUGUCUCUACUAAAAACACAAAAAAUUAGCCGGGCGUGGCGGCACGUGCCUGCAGUCCCAGCUACUUGGGAAGCUGAGGCAGGAGAAUGGCGUGAACCCGGGAGGCGGAGCUUCCAGUGAUGCAAUGAGCUGAGACCACGCCACUGCACUCCAGCCUGGGCAACACAGCAAGACUCCGCCUUAAAAAAAAAAAAAAAAAAGAGUGAUUCACGCAGAGGAGCCAGAGCCCGCUGUGCGCUGUGCGGGAGACCGGAGUUGUAUUAUUACUCAAAUCAGUCUCCCUGAGCAUUCUAGGAUCAGAGCUUUUAACAACAACGCGGUGGGUGGGGGGAAGCUAGUGAGCCAGGAGUGUUGAUUGCUCAGGAAUGAAAUCAUAGGGAGUCGAAGCUGUCUUCUUGAGCUGAGUCAGUUCCUGUAUAGGGGGCCACAAGAUCAGAAGAGCCAGUUUAUUGAUCUGGUGGUGCCCACUGAUCCAUCAAGCGCAGGGUCUGCACAAUGUUCCAAGCACUGAUCUUAGGAGCAGUUUAGGGAGGGUCAGAAUCUUGUAGCCUCUGGCUGCAUGACUCCUAAACCAUAAUUUCUAAUCUUAUGAUUAAUGUUAGUCCUACAAAGGCAAUCUAGUUCCCAGACAAGAAGGAGGUCUGCUGUUGGGCGCGGCGGCUCACGCCUGUAAUCCCAGCGCUUUGGGAGGCCGAGGUGGGCUGAUCACAAAGUCAAGAGAUCGAGACCAUCCUGGCCAACAUGGUGAAACUGUGUCUCUACUAAAAAUACAAACAUUAGCCAGGCGUGGUGGCACAUACCUGUAGUCCCAGCAACUCAGGAGGCUGAGGCAGGAGAAUUGCUUGAACCCGGGAGGCGGAGGUUGCAGUGAGCUGAGAUUGUGCCACUGCACUCCAGCUUGGGCAACAGAGCCAGACUCUGUCUCACCAAAAAAAAAAAAAGAAAAAAAGAGGGAGUUCUGCUUUGGAAAGGGCUGUUUUCAACUUUGUUUAAACUAUAAACUCUUUCUCUCAAAGUUAGUUCGGCCUACAUCUAGGAAUGAACAAGGACAGCUUGGAGAUUAGAAGCAAGAUGGAGUCAAUUAUGUUAGAUCUCUUUCACUGUCUCAGUCAUAAUUUUGCAAACACAGUUUCACUGGGAGGAAAUAAAUUUCUGUUGUUUAAGCCACACAGUCUGUGAUCUUUUUUUUUUCUUUUUUGAGACAGAGUCUCGCUCUGUCGCCCAGACUGGAGUGCAGUGG
rnacentral:lncRNA from 10 species